ensembl:lincRNA 4930408K08Rik RIKEN cDNA 4930408K08 gene
GAGAACUGGGAAAGCACUGCCAGGAGAGAACCUGGCACCGUGUGACAUGCAUGCGCCAGGCCUCUCUCACCGGAAGCUUGGUAUGGGGGCACCUGAGACUAUGACCCUCUAGACCUUAGAAGCAUUCUCGGAAGAGUGUGUGAAUACCAAGUCCUGUGAAGUGCAGCUAAGGGGAGCACAUUUCUCAAGAAGUGCAGCUGGCCCUCCAGAAUCUCCUUACAUCAUUUCCAAGAAGCUUCCCGGAGCCUCUCUCAAAGAAUGCAGUCUCAGGGGCAGGCGUAUCUCUGACUUCAGGACCAACCUUGUCUACAGAGCUGGUUCCAGGAUGCCAGGGCUACACAGAGAAACCGUCGGGGGUUGGGGAUCGCACGCAUUACCACCACCACCUGCCUACUGAGCCUCCGGAUAUCACAAAACUCAAUAAGUACUCUAAAUGCUUUGAUUUCUUGACCCAGGUUUUCCCUCCAAGCUGCUGGCCAUGCUCUUCAUCCUGAGACAUCUCCUGCGUCUUCUGAGACACUAUGAGCUUCUGCCUCUCCUCUUUCUCUCUCCUACACCCCCGGCUCCUUUGUGAGCCCAAGAUAUUCUAAACAUGAGGCUUUGAAAAUUUGCCAUAGAUACACUUAAGGGCAGAAAGAUAGCUUAGUAAAUAUUGCAGUGAAGUUUUGUGCCCUCUGAUCAGGUUCUUUGAAAGCUAACAGCAGAGUAUAAUAGCCCCAGUUGUUUUUAAAGCUUUAUCUUUUUAUAUGUAAGUGUCUGUGUAAGUUUAGUGUGUGUGUGUGUGUGUGUGUGUGUGCGCGCGCGCGCCAGCACAUGCCAGAAGAUAGUGUGGAAUCUUCCGGAAUUGGAGUUACCAGAAGUUGUGAGCUUGAGAACAGACCUCUGAUAUCUGGAAGAGCAACAACAGCUCUUAAUAACAGUUGAUAGAUUUUCCAACCCCUGACACUUGGGGGAGGGGGAAGUGUGUGACACAUGUUUUUAAAUGAAUUAUUUUUUCUUGUUCAAGCCUAAAUCUUAUGUCAUGAAGCUCAUUCAUUUCUUAAAAUAGCACUGCUUUACAUGUGUUUUCUUAUGUUAUUUAUACGUGUUUUACCAUAUGUCUUUUCUCAGUGCUAAAAUAUAAUAUAAAUAACUAACAUUGAAUCAGCUCUCAUAGACAGUCAACAUCUAAUAUACUCUAGAGUGAAAUGCAUCCUAAGUGCUAUAAUAAAUAUGUAGUCAAAUAUCAUAAAAUAUGUAUUUGUAUUAUUUCAUUGGAUAAAUUCAUAAGUCAACAAUAAAACAAAGCUACUAAAACGACUUUCAAAAAUGUAAGUGCUGGGCAUUUAUAAUUAUUAAAGACCAUUUUUCUUUAAAAGAUAAUUGUAAGACAUAAACAGCAUAUUGUGUAAUUUAUAACAUGUCAGAACUAAAUGUAUGGCAAUAAUAAAAAAGUUGU